rnacentral:rRNA from 1 species
UACAGAGGCCUCGAGCGUUAGGCGGAAUCACUGGGCUUAAAGCGUGUGUAGGUGGAUGCCUAAGUACCUUGUGAAAUCCCACGGCUUAACCAUGGAAUUGCUUGGUAUACUGGGUGUCUUGAGCCACUCAGGGGCUACUGGAACAAACGGUGGAGCGGUGAAAUGCGUAGAUAUCGUUUGGAACGCCAAUGGUGAAAACAGGUAGCUGGGGGGUGUGCUGACACUGAGACACGAAAGCCAGGGGAGCAAACGGG